UGUCCACCAAGCGUCCCACCAAUGUCACGCCUCAGUGUUUUUUGUAUAGUACGAGUACUGGCUUUGCGCCGGAACUCAGUCGGUUUGGGUCGGGCAGCAAUCCUGCAACCCAGAGUCAAUGUCCGCCUUCUGUCACAUUUUCACCAGAAGGCCGGCGAUUGUCAAUUUGUAAAGACUUGGGUAUCUUCGAUGAAUAUCAGUGUUAAUCUUUCAAUGUCACUGUUAAUUUUGUUCAUCCGUUCUUCGUAGACUCUAGUCAUGGUUUAAGUGUUUUGCCAGACGUCAGAUGAGGUCCCAGAUGUGAGGCUUCACCUGCCGCUGUCCUCGGAGAGGUUCGCCCGGAGGGGCACUACAUCUUCUACCUCCUUGGGCUGCCAACGGCCCAGCAUCUCCGGGGACCACUAUGCCUCCAUCUUCCAGUAUGGACCACUAAGCCACCCACCGCCUGCCACCGUCAAGGAAUCUUGUGCCACUUUUCCGCAAGUUAUACUGUAGAAUAUCUAAAUUAUGAACAUUUUUAAAGGACUGUUUUUAAGGGGCCCCAAAAUGAUUGAUUAUCCAUUCUAGUAUUUCAUAGGAACUGUUAUUUAUUUGAUUGUUAUUUAUUUUUAUAGUAUCCAAAUUUUUAUUUAUUGCUUGUUAAUUUAUUUAAAGUUUAAUAUAACCGUACAAUCCUAUUUAAUUAUUGUUAGGCCUAACAUCCACAGUUACCACUAAAUUUGUAAGUUCAGGAGGGUAAAGUUUUGAGGAAGCUUAAAGUAUUUAAAUAUUUUUGAUAAAAUAAUUCUUUGGAUGGCUGCUUUGUUGUUUAUUGUUGAUUGUUUUUAUUGUUGAAUUUUGAGAUUAAUUAUAGGCUUUGUUGACAA